UUCUCAGGGAAUGCAAUAGUUUUGCGAGCAAAUGCGACAUUUCUCAGGGAAUGCAACAGUUUUGCGAGCAAAUGCGACGUUUCUCAGGGAAUGCAAUAGUUUUGUGAGCAAAUGCGACGUUUCUCAGGGAAUGCAAUAGUUUUGCGAGCAAACGCAACAUUUCUCAGGGAAUGCAAUAUUUUGCGAGAGAAGGCAAAAAAAAGCAUUUUUCAU